CGUGGCACCAAACUGGCACAUCACGUCAAGAAUUACAACAUAACCUCUGUGUGGAGGGGCACAGAAAGAACCAAGCCUGGACAGGGUGCCAGUCCAACUCAGGGUCCACAGAGCCCCAGUUUAGACCGUUCACGGGGCACCAACAAGGACCAGCAGGCAGCUGCUAAAGGGCGCCCCCUACCGCAAGCGUCCGUAAGUGACAGAUUCGGACGCCGGACUCCAGCGAUCUCACGUGGACGUU